AUAGUACCGUGAGGGAAUGGUGAAAAGUACCCCGGGAGGGGAGUGAAAUAGUACCUGAAACCGGGCGCUUACAAGCCGUCAGAGCCUUCCGCACCUUGUGUGUGGGGGUGGUGGCGUGCCUUUUGAAGAAUGAGCCUGCGAGUCAGUGGCGUGUCGCGAGGUUAACCCGUGUGGGGUAGCCGUAGCGAGAGCGAGUCCGAAUAGGGCGAUUGUAGUGGCGCGUUCUGGACCCGAAGCGGGGUGAUCUACCCAUGGCCAGGUUGAAGCACGUGUAAGAGCGUGUGGAGGACCGAACCCACCUAGGUUGAAAACUGGGGGGAUGAGCUGUGGGUAGGGGUGAAAGGCCAAUCAAACUCCGUGAUAGCUGGUUCUCCCCGAAAUGCAUUUAGGUGCAGCGUCGCGUGUUGCCCGGCGGAGGUAGAGCUACUGGGUGGCUGAUGGGCCCCACAGGGUUACUGACGUCAACCAAACUCCGAAUGCCGUCGGGUUGUAGCGUGGCAGUGAGACCGCGGGGGAUAAGCUCCGUGGUCGAGAGGGAAACAGCCCAGAUCGCCGGCUAAGGCCCCUAAGCGUGUGCUAAGUGGGAAAGGAUGUGCGGUCGCGCAGACAACCAGGAGGUUGGCUUAGAAGCAGCCAUCCUUGAAAGAGUGCGUAAUAGCUCACUGGUCAAGUGAUCGUGCGCCGACAAUGUAGCGGGGCUCAAGCACACCGCCGAAGCCGCGGACCCAUGACGUUGUUCCCUUCAUCGUCCGGCUUGCCCGGGUGGUGGCAGGGGUUGUGGGUGGUAGGGGAGCGUCCUGCACCGGGGGAAGCCUGUGGGUGACUGCUGGUGGACGGUGCGGGAGUGAGAAUGCAGGCAUGAGUAGCGAUACUAGGGUGAGAAGCCCUAGCGCCGAAUGACCAAGGGUUCCAGGGCCAGGCUAGUCCGCCCUGGGUGAGUCGGGACCUAAGGCGAGGCCGACAGGCGUAGUCGAUGGAUGACGGGUUGAUAUUCCCGUACCGGCGAAGCACCGCCCAUGCUGACGCGCGGGUGCUAACCCACGCCCAACCACCAUAUAGGCCGCAUGUGUCAGGUUCGCCUGACGGUGUGGUUGUGGUGGUGGGGUCUGGGGAUCCUCCGUGCAGGUAGGCAAGCGUGUUAACAGGGGUGACGCACAGUGGUAGCCCGGCGGACCUGAUGGCUUGGUCCGUUCAAGCGCGCAGCCCGUCUUCCAGGUAAAUCCGGGGGACUGUCUUUGAUGACGGGGGUGAGGCGUGAUGGUGACCUCACGUUGGUGGGGGAUAACAGGGUGAUCCUGGGGUGCCGAGAAAAGCCUCGACGCGAUGGUGCCAGCCGCCCGUACCCUAAACCGACACAGGUGGUCGGGCAGAGUAUGCCUAGGCGCACGAGUGAAUCAUGGUUAAGGAACUCGGCAAAAUGCCCCCGUAACUUCGGGAGAAGGGGGGCCUGAUCCCUGAAGCCCCGUUUGCGGGCUAGGGGGGAGGGUCGCAGAGGCCAGGGGGAAGCGACUGUUUACUAAAAACACAGGUCCGUGCGAAGCCGUAAGGCGAUGUAUACGGACUGACGCCUGCCCGGUGCUGGAAGGUUAAGAGGAACCAUCAACCCCCUCGGGGGUGAAGUGGUGAAUUUAAGCCCCAGUAAACGGCGGUGGUAACUAUAACCAUCCUAAGGUAGCGAAAUUCCUUGUCGGGUAAGUUCCGACCUGCACGAAUGGCGUAACGACUUCCCCGCUGUCUCAACCAUGAGCUCGGCGAAAUUGCAGUACGAGUAAAGAUGCUCGUUUCGCGCAGAAGGACGGAAAGACCCCGGGACCUUUACUAUAGCUUGGUAUUGG
rnacentral:rRNA from 1 species